rnacentral:rRNA from 1 species
AGUGAACGCUGGCGGUAGGCCUAACACAUGCAAGUCGAACGGCAGCACAGUAAGAGCUUGCUCUUACGGGUGGCGAGUGGCGGACGGGUGAGGAAUACAUCGGAAUCUACUUUUUCGUGGGGGAUAACGUAGGGAAACUUACGCUAAUACCGCAUACGACCUACGGGUGAAAGCAGGGGAUCUUCGGACCUUGCGCGAUUGAAUGAGCCGAUGUCGGAUUAGCUAGUUGGCGGGGUAAAGGCCCACCAAGGCGACGAUCCGUAGCUGGUCUGAGAGGAUGAUCAGCCACACUGGAACUGAGACACGGUCCAGACUCCUACGGGAGGCAGCAGUGGGGAAUAUUGGACAAUGCGCGCAAGCCUGAUCCAGCCAUACCGCGUGGGUGAAGAAGGCCUUCGGGUUGUAAAGCCCUUUUGUUGGGAAAGAAAAGCAGCAGGUUAAUACCCCGCUGUUCUGACGGUACCCAAAGAAUAAGCACCGGCUAACUUCGUG